ACGGGGGGGGCAAGCGUUGUUCGGAAUUACUGGGCGUAAAGGGCUCGUAGGCUGCCAACUAAGUCGGACGUGAAAUCCCUCGGCUUAACCGGGGAACUGCGUCCGAUACUGGAUGGCUUGAGUUUGGGAGAGGGAUGCGGAAUUCCAGGUGUAGCGGUGAAAUGCGUAGAUAUCUGGAGGAACACCGGUGGCGAAGGCGGCAUCCUGGACCGGUAUUGACACUGAGGCACGAAGGCCAGGGGAGCAAACGGGA
rnacentral:rRNA from 1 species